UACGGAGGGGGCUAGCGUUGUUCGGAAUUACUGGGCGUAAAGCGUGCGCAGGCGGUUUUGUAAGCCAGAUGUGAAAGCCCCGGGCUUAACCUGGGAAUGGCAUUUGGGACUGCAAGGCUGGAGUGUGGCAGAGGAGACUGGAAUUCCUGGUGUAGCAGUGAAAUGCGUAGAUAUCAGGAGGAAUACCGAUGGCGAAGGCAGGUCUCUGGGCUAACACUGACGCUCAUGCACGAAAGCGUGGGGAGCAAACAGG
rnacentral:rRNA from 1 species